rnacentral:rRNA from 1 species
CCUACGGGGGGCUGCAGUGAGGAAUAUUUCUCAAUGGACGAGAGCCUGAUCCAGCCACGUCGCGUGAAUGAUGACUGCCCUCUGGGUUGUAAACUUCUUUUAUAGGGGAAUAAAAUGUUGCACGUGUGGGAUUUUGUAUGUACCAUAUGAAUAAGGAUCGGCUAACUCCGUGCCAGCAGCGGCGGUAAUACGGAGGAUCCGAGCGUUAUCCGGAUUUAUUGGGUUUAAAGGGAGCGGAGGGGGGGUUUUAAGUCAGUUGUGAAAGUUUGCGGCUCAACCGUAAAAUUGCAGUUGAAACUGGCAGUCUUGAGUACAGUAGAGGUGGGCGGAAUUCGUGGUGUAGCGGUGAAAUGCUUAGAUAUCACGAAGAACUCCGAUGGCGAAGGCAGCUCACUGGACUGCAACUGACACUGAGGCUCGAAAGUGUGGGUAUCAAACAGGAUUAGAUACCCUUGUAGUC